rnacentral:rRNA from 1 species
AUUGACCGCUGGCGGCAGGCCUAACACAUGCAAGUCGAACGAGUGGCGGACGGGUGAGUACUGUCUGGGAACCUGCCCGAUGUAGGGGGAUAACUACUGGAAACGGUAGCUAAUACCGCAUACCCUCGGAUGUGCCCAGAUUGUAUUAGCUAGUAGGUGGGGUAACGGCUCACCUAGGCGACGAUCCCUAGCUGGUCUGAGAGGAUGACCAGCCACACUGGAACGGUGACACGGUCCAGACUCCUACGGGAGGCAGCAGUGGGGAAUAUGGCACAAUGGGCGCAAGCAUGAUGCAGCCAGGCCGCGUGUAUGAAGAAGGCCUUCGGGUUGUAAAGUACUUUCAGCGAGGAGGCGUUACUCGCAGAAGAAGCACCGGCUAACUCCGUGCCAGCAGCCGCGGUAAUUC